GCAGAGCCACCGGCCGGUCGAAACCCGACCCCAUGGCGAAGCCAGGCAGCCGGCGAGGGGCAGUCUCCCGCUCUGGGGUCCUUUAGUAAAUCCAGACCCGACCUCCCUGUGGUCAGGGCUGUGACUGAGGUGGUCCUGUGGGGGAAGGGGGCUUCCCGCCUGCACCAGGCCUGCAAGCAUUUAAGUGGCAACCGGUUGGGGAUCAGAAAACGGGCUCAGAGAGGUCAAGGUGACACUGGCCAGCAAAUGUCACUACACUGUGCAGCCUGUUCCUGCUUGCCAGGAAAAAAACGCAUUUAAAAAGGUAUAGGGGAGGAGAGGAAAGGUGGAAAUGGAUGGGGUGCAGAAGUUUUACACUAACAUGGAG
rnacentral:lncRNA from 1 species